rnacentral:rRNA from 1 species
AUAUCGCAUGAUAUUUUUAUUAAAGAAUUUCGGUUAUCGAUGGGGAUGCGUUCCAUUAGUUUGUUGGCGGGGUAACGGCCCACCAAGACUACGAUGGAUAGGGGUUCUGAGAGGAAGGUCCCCCACAUCGGAACUGAGACACGGUCCAAACUCCUACGGGAGGCAGCAGUGGGGAAUAUUGGUCAAUGGGCGAGAGCCUGAACCAGCCAAGUAGCGUGAAGGAUGAAGGCUCUAUGGGUCGUAAACUUCUUUUAUAUGGGAAUAAAGUUUUCCACGUGUGGAAUUUUGUAUGUACCAUAUGAAUAAGGAUCGGCUAACUCCGUGCCAGCAGCCGCGGUAAUACGGAGGAUCCGAGCGUUAUCCGGAUUUAUUGGGUUUAAAGGGAGCGUAGGUGGAUUGUUAAGUCAGUUGUGAAGUUUGCGGCUCAACCGUAAAAUUGCAGUUGAACUGGCAGUCUUGAGUACAGUAGAGGUGGGCGGAAUUCGUGGUGUAGCGGUGAAAUGCUUAGAUAUCACGAAGAACUCCGAUUGCGAAGGCAG